UGCAAGAAAAUAUCUAAAAAAUUAUUUUUCUUUAAUAGAAUUAGCAAAGAUCUAUCAUUAUUUUCAAGGAUCACUGUAGAAUCACUGUUAUACAAGAAGUAUAAUUCAGCCCCAUUUUGACUACUGUUCAAGUGUUUUAUAUUUAGGUGAUAAAGGAUCAAUUCAAUCAUUGCAAAUUUUGUAUAACAGAGGUAUGAGAACAAUUCUUCGAUGCAAUCGCUACACACCAAUUGAGAUGAUGUACUCUACUUUAGGUUGGUUUUCAGUUCAACAAAGACUUUACUACCUUACUAUGGUUUUCAUUUUUAAAUUAAAAAAAAGGAAUGUUGCCUGCAUAUUUUAAUGAAUAUGUUACAUUGAGGGGUCAAGUUCAUUCAUAUACCACAAGAAAUAUUGAAGAUUUUGACAUUUAAAAAACUAAUAAACAUAGCACAAUGACAUCCUUGUUUUACAAAUGUAUGAAUGAAUUUAACCAUCAUCCCCCCAGUGUUAAGAAUGCAGUAACAGUUCAAAUUUUUAAAAAAUUACUGAAAACAUAUAUUUUACCUGGAUAAAAA
rnacentral:lncRNA from 1 species